rnacentral:rRNA from 1 species
UACGUAGGGGGCGAGCGUUGCCCGGAAUCAUUGGGCGUAAAGAGCGUGUAGGUGGCUUGGAAAGUCUUACGUGAAAGCCUGCGGCUCAACCGCAGAAGUGCGUGGGAAACUUCCUCGCUAGAGUCCGGAAGAGGAGAGCGGAAUUCCUGGUGUAGCGGUGGAAUGCGCAGAUAUCAGGAGGAACACCCGUGGCGAAGGCGGCUCUCUGGGACGGUACUGACACUGAGACGCGAAAGCGUGGGGAGCGAACAGG